GUGCUAACUUCAGCAGCAUAUAUACUAAAGUUAGAAUGAUACAGGGAAAAUUAGCAUGACUCCAGAGCAAGGAUGACAUGCAAAUUCGUGAAGCCUUCCACAUUCUU